GCCGGCGGCUGGGCUGCCCGGUGUCGGGCCGCUGCCGCCGGCUGGGCCACCGACCGGCCAGUGGCAGGCUCCGCCGCCCGCCGCCGGUA
rnacentral:tRNA from 1 species